UACAGAGGUCCCGAGCGUUGUUCGGAUUCACUGGGCGUAAAGGGUGCGUAGGUGGCCUAAAAAGUUUGAUGUGAAGGCUCAGGGCUUAACCCUGAAAUGGCAUUGAAUACUGUUGGGCUGGAGGUUUGGAGGGGGGACUGGAAUUCCCGGUGUAGCGGUGAAUGACGCAGAUAUCGGGAAGAACACCCGUGGCGAAGGCGGCUCUCUGGGACGGUACUGACGCUGAGACGCGAAAGCGUGGGGAGCGAACAGG
rnacentral:rRNA from 1 species